AUGUACAUAAUUGCAUAAGGUGUCAAUUCUGCUCUACAGUGCAGUUUUAGUUGCAUAGGUUUCCAUUGUAUUUAUAGUCUGUUUAUGCUAAAUCUGGCCAAAGGUGAGCAUUGUCCACCACUAAAAUGCCUCUGCCACUUUGAAUUCUGUGCUAAUUUUGUGGCCAGAAUGAAGUGAUCAAAAUGCUCCAUCUUUUUACAGUGGCAUAGGAAGACGGCAAAAAUUUCCUAAAGUGCAAUAGAUUUUCAAGUGUAUUGUGCCUUGUUCUAAAACUUUUAUUAAGUAGGUGCACUUGACAGUAUUGAGGUCAUUUGUUAUGGUGCUAUUUCAGUUAGUCUAAGUUUAAGCCCUUGUACAUUUUGCCCAAAACUUUUUACAAAGUACUUCUUUUAUUGCACAUUCAGAGAAUUUUAUAUAUAUGUCUUGUGUGCGUGUCCUUAAACUUCCAAUCUUACUUUGUCUCUUGGAGAUUGUUUAACACAGCUUUUCUAGGAAGGGGAUGGGACUAGAUUCUAAAAUUUAUCUGGGACCAUGGGAAUGAUAGUUGGGAAGAAAACUAUUUGCACAUGACAGAUUUCUAGAUAAUUUUUGCUGCUAGUUUUAUGUAAUAAUUUUUGAACAUUUUGGCAAUUAUUUAUUUUUGUAAGCCUAAAAGUGAUUCUUUGAAAGUUUAAAGAAACUUGACCAAAACACAGUAUAAAAACACUGGCACUUGAAUGUUGAAUGUCACCAUAUGCGUGAAAUUAUAUAUUUCGGGGUAGUGUGAGCUUUUAAUGUUAAGUCAUAUUAAACUCUUAAGUCAAAUUAAGCAGACCCGGCCUUGGCAGUGUAGCCAUAACUUUCUGAUGUUAGUAAAAACAUAAUUGGUGACUUGAAAUUAAAUCAUGCCAAGGUUUUGAUACACUUGUCUUAAGAUGUUAAUGAAACAUUUCAAAACACUGAUGUGAAGUGUCCAGAUUCUCAGAUGUUUGUUGUGUGAAUUUUGUUUAGUUGUGAUUUUUUUUUUUCAGUGAAUGUCUGGCACAUUGCAAUCCUCAAACGUGGUUAUCUUGUUGUAUUGGCAUAAUUAGUGACUUGUACCUUCAGCAACAGCAUUUGAGCAAGUUUUUAUCAGCAAGCAAUAUUUUCAGUUAAUAAGGUUUCAAAAAUCAUGUAAGAAUUUAAACUUGCUGAAUGUAAAGAUUGAACCUCAAGUCACUGUGGCUUUAGUAAUUGCUUAUUGUAUUAGCUUAGAUGCUAGAACUGCAUGUGCUGUGCAUAUUCUGAUUACAUUAAAAUAAAAA
rnacentral:lncRNA from 1 species